CCUACGUGAGACAGCAGUGAGGAAUAUUGGUCAAUUGGCGCGAGCCUGAACCAGCCAAGUCGCGUGAAUGAUGACUGCCCUACGGGUUGUAAACUUCUUUUAUAAAGGAAUAAAGUGAGGCCCGUGUGCCUUUUUUCAUGUACCUUAUUAAUAAGGAUCGGCUAACUCCGUGCCAGCAGCCGCGGUAAUACGGCUGAUCCGAACGUUAUCCGGAUUUAUUGGGUUUAAAGGGAGCGUAGUUGGGUUGUUAAGUCAGUUGUGAAAGUUUGCGGCUCAAACGUAAAAUUGCAAUUGAUAAUGGCAGUCUUGAGUACAGUUGAGGGAGGCGGAAUUCGUGGUGUAGCGGUGAAAUGCUUAGAUAUCACGAAGAACUCCGAUUGCGAAGGCAGCUUACUAAACUGCCACUGACAUUGAUGCUCGAAAGUGUGGGGAUCAAACAGGAUUAGAUACCCCUGUAGUC
rnacentral:rRNA from 1 species